UCAGGCCUAACACAUGCAAGUCGAACGAGAUUACAGGGUAAGCUUGCUUACCUUAUAUGACAGUGGCGCACGGGUGCGUAACGCGUAUGCAACCUACCUUUAUCAGGGGGAUAGCCUCUCGAAAGAGAGAUUAAUACCGCAUAAAAACACAGUACGGCAUCGUACAAUGUUCAAACAUUUAUGGGAUAAAGAUGGGCAUGCGUGACAUUAGCUAGUUGGUGAGGUAACGGCUCACCAAGGCAACGAUGUCUAGGGGAUCUGAGAGGAUGACCCCCCACACUGGUACUGAGACACGGACCAGACUCCUACGGGAGGCAGCAGUAAGGAAUAUUGGUCAAUGGACGCAAGUCUAAAAGAGCCAUGCCGCGUGCAGGAAGACGGCCCUA
rnacentral:rRNA from 1 species